UACAGAGACUGCAAGCGUUAUUCGGAUUCACUGGGCGUAAAGGGUGCGCAGGCGGCCAAGUGUGUUAGGCGUGAAAGCCUGGGGCUUAACCCCAGAAUUGCACCUAAAACUACAUGGCUAGAGCAUUGGAGAGGGUAGCGGAAUUCACGGUGUAGCAGUGAAAUGCGUAGAUAUCGUGAGGAACACCAGAGGCGAAGGCGGCUGCCUGGACAAUUGCUGACGCUCAGGCACGAAAGCGUGGGGAGCAAAAGGG
rnacentral:rRNA from 1 species